rnacentral:rRNA from 1 species
GAUGAACGCUGGCGGCGUGCCUAAUACAUGCAAGUCGAGCGAACAGACGAGGAGCUUGCUUCUUUGACGUUAGCGGCGGACGGGUGAGUAACACGUAGGUAACCUACCUAUAAGACUGGGAUAACUUCGGGAAACCGGAGCUAAUACCGGAUAAUAUUUCGAACCGCAUGGUUCGAUAGUGAAAGAUGGCUUUGCUAUCACUUAUAGAUGGACCUGCGCCGUAUUAGCUAGUUGGUAAGGUAACGGCUUACCAAGGCAACGAUACGUAGCCGACCUGAGAGGGUGAUCGGCCACACUGGAACUGAGACACGGUCCAGACUCCUACGGGAGGCAGCAGUAGGGAAUCUUCCGCAAAGGGCGAAAGCCUGACGGAGCAACGCCGCGUGAGUGAUGAAGGUCUUCGGAUCGUAAAACUCUGUUAUUAGGGAAGAACAAACGUGUAAGUAACUAUGCACGUCUUGACGGUACCUAAUCAGAAAGCCACGGCUAACUACGUG